UAGCAGAGGUAGGAGCAGGAGGUCCUGAGUUCAAAACUAGGGCAAGAGGUUCCCAGACCACAUGGGAGCUAUUGAGUUGUCCCAAUGGGUUCCUAUGCCCACCCACCAAACAUUUAAAGGCAAGGGGUAGUCAGUGUGAUGCCAUUCAGAUGCUGUGGACUUGGAGAUGGACAAAGGACCAAGUAACUUCAAACUAGUCUACCCAGGGCAGUCCCAUACUCAGUCAAGUUUCCUGUGUGCCUGUGCCGCCUAAUGGAUAAUUGUAAUCUUGGAAGGAUUUUUGCCACAGGACUGCAACAGUAAACCUUGUAAAUGCUACAAGGGAACCCUUGGCAGAAAUACUCGAUGAUAACUGCAGUAUUAAUCGGAUCUCAUUAAAUACCGUAUUUUUAAAUGUUAUAGCUAUAACUUAAAUUAGAAACUUUGAGCACGAAAUCUGCAGGGUGUGCUUUAUCCUUCCACCUUUAGAACCUAAUAUUGUAUCCUCUGUGUUCUAUGAUUUCCAUUAGUUUUUGUUCUCAAACAAGAAAUCUGCUGUUAUAUGUAGCUGUCAAUAACACACGAGUCAUUGCAUCAAAAGGUAAUGGUGUCAGGUUUGGUUGGUUCAGUUUAUUAAAUUUAUGUAUUGAUUCUCACUAAGAAAAGCCCCAAAGCACUUUACAACCAAGUAAAAACAUACCAUGAUAAAACCACUUAAACAGUCUGUGACUUAUACAACUUCUGUAUUUUCUUUCCAUUCAAAAGGUAUCAGCAAAAGUUAAUUUACUUGC